UACCAUUUUUUGCAUAUAUAGUUACUCCUCCAUUUUCACUAGCCAUCCCCAAGAGUUUUAUUAAAAAGUUAUUACAGUCCAAAGAAAAAAUAAGGUAAAGAAAAUACAUCAAAUUUUAAAUUACAACCAAGGAGAGCCUGAUUCAGAAUUCAUGUCUGAAGUACGAAGUAAAACAACUCCAAAGAUCAUAUUUCAAAGCUUUUCUCUCAUUUGGAUGUGCCAGAUUUCUCUAAGAGCUUCAUAUGGACUCCAGGCAAAGCUCACACCCAAAUGCAUUAUAGGAUUAAGACAUAGUGUAGUGUGAAAAGGCCAGCCAUCAAGUGUCCAAGUUCAGAGGGAGCUCAAGUUCCCAAGGCAAGGUACAGGGAGGGGGUAGAACUAAGAGACUAGGAGAGAGUGCAAAUGCAGAAUUCUGAAAAGGGGAAAGAGGAAGGGAAACAAUACACAUAGGGAUAUAGGGAAUGGGGAGUUUUAAGAGGAAAAGGCAGGUUAGUGGGCAUAACCAACAAUAUGAGAUGUUGGCACACCCAUAAACCUGCUAGAACACAUUGUUUAAGAGUUAGGAUCCCCUAAGGGAUCGAGUUCAAACCAUAGGCAAUAGCUUAAAUAUUGCCAUGUUUUAAACUGUAACUCGAAUCACAUAGAGGCAAAUAGGGAGCAGGGAUUCAUAGCAGAAACAAGCAAAAGAAAUCAAAAUGCUAGUUAAAUAUUUAACUCUGCAGAAGUAGUAAAGCUGACAUAGAUGCAAAAAGAUGUAAGUAAACACAUUGUGGUGAUGCUGAAGCUUAAAUUAGGACAUACCAGUUUCGAAUAAACAAAUAAAGUGAAAUAAGUAGUCUUGUAAAAGCCACCGUGUAGACAAGAAGCAAGAUAUUAUUAUAUAUAAGUAUGAUUUCAGAAGAGGUUCUGAAUUGCAAAUUUGGUAGUGUGUGGAAGGUGUAAAAGGGUCGUGCCUUUCAUAGUGUAGAAAUCAGGCAGAAAUAAGGUAAGAAAAAUAGUUGAAGAACUGAUUAUCAAUCAAUUACACAAGGCGUCCUUUAAUUAAGGGAUUCAGAUUCAAACGGGUAUAAACCAAGUCAGAAAAGAAAUUAAUCAAAUACUUUGUGCAAAGUAGGCAAUUAGGGGUGAAUACAUAAAAGUUAUUUAAGGACAGGGUUUUGACAAUACAUGGUUUGUGCAAAUAAGGUAAGAAAAUCAAUUAACAACAAGCAAAUCAAAGGGUCUGAGAUUUUGUAUUAAUGAAUUGGUUCAGAAAGAUGGAAAAGGUUUUAACUUAAGGGAAAUCAGCAGACAUUGGGAGGGGAAGCAAUCAGGCCUAUUUAGAAGGAAUUUUGAAUAAAUCACAAGUUGAAAGCAUUUUUAAAUAAAGAUUCUUCACAUAUAAAGAGCAUAUAGACACGUUAAGCAUGAAAGAAACUUGUCAUGCCAUUGUAAAAUCAGUAGGAAAUUCCGUAUAGAAUAGAUUAGCAAAAGAGGUCAGAAUCAUAUGAAAACAAGGAAGUCAAAACUCAGUUAAGAGACUCAAAGUUAGUCUAAAAGAAUUAAGGAUCUUUUAAAAUAAAACCCUAGUUCAAUCAAAUAACACAAUCAAACUUGGUGGACCCCCAAAUUCUAGGGUUUCCACCUUGAAUCAAGAAUAGAGAUGGGAAGGCAAGUAGUCGAACCAGGAUCAGAGGUUUCAGAACUAAAACCUCUUACAUGCUUCAAUCAACAACAGAAAUUCAUGAGAAUACAUGAUAUCAAAGUAACAGGCAGAACACAGUAGAAGCACUCAAAGAAAAUAAAGGAAAAACAUUAAUAGGAAUAGUAAAAGAAACAUGCUUAAAAAGUUUUCAGAAGAAACUUGAACAGGGCUUAGUAUAAGGCAAAUAAACAAACUUAAGAACUUAAUAAGAAAAUACAAUAGAAGAACACCGGAAAAGUACAGCAGAAAAGCAUAUUGGAAAACACAGUAAGAUAAAAAUGCAAGAACAUGGUAAAAGAAAAAAUACCAAGACAUAGUAGAAGCAAAUACACAUAAAGGAAAAAGAAAGUCAAAAAGUAUUUUCAGAAAAUCCAAGAUCGAAAAGAAGGGUUUUGAAAGUGAUUUUUUGAAAGAAAAGUUAGGGAAAUCGUUUGAAAAGUCAAGGAAAUCAUAGAUACACAACGGAUCUGAAGAAAUCGGAGAAAACCUCGAGGGAUUAGGGUUUCAAAAGAACCCUAGAAAUGAGAAAGGCUUGAAAGUUCACCGAACUGAGUCGGAGAGGUCAGAAAUAGGCUCAGACAACCUUGGUACACCAGAGCAAGGCCGGAGAUGAACCUGUAACCUCAAAUCGAUAGAGGUUUGGGUUCAACCGUUCAUAGUCAGGCCUCAAAUCUUCAGUUAUCAGGUGCGUGGGAGCAAGAGGAGGUGGGUAUAAAACUCCCAUGGCCUGGGAAGCCAUGGAUCCAGGUGGGUUUCAAGGCGGAGAAGGUGAGAGGCGAAUAGGGUUAGGGAAACUUUGAGAGGGUUUGACAGAGUUUGAGAUUUCAGAGGUGGCGGUUGGUGAGAGAAAUGAGGUAGGGUUGGGGAUG
rnacentral:lncRNA from 1 species